UACGGGGGGGGUAAGCGUUGUUCGGAAUUACUGGGCGUAAAGGGUGCGCAGGCGGGUUGGCAAGUCAGAGGUGAAAUCUCACAGCUUAACUGUGAAACUGCCUUUGAUACUUCCAAUCUUGAGUUAAAGAGAGGUUGAUGGAAUUUCAGGUGUAGCGGUGAAAUGCGUAGAUAUCAGGAGGAACACCGGUGGCGAAGGCGGGUCUCUGGGCCGAUACUGACGCUGAGGAGCGAAAGCGUGGGGAGCGAACAGG
rnacentral:rRNA from 1 species